rnacentral:rRNA from 1 species
AGGGUUCGAUUCUGGCUCAGGAUGAACGCUAGCUACAGGCUUAACACAUGCAAGUCGAGGGGCAGCAUUGGAGUAGCAAUACUUCAGAUGGCGACCGGCGCACGGGUGAGUAACACGUAUCCAACCUGCCGCUUACUCGGGGAUAGCCUUUCGAAAGAAAGAUUAAUACCCGAUGGUAUAAAGAGUUCGCAUGUUCUCUUUAUUAAAGAAUUUCGGUAAGCGAUGGGGAUGCGUUCCAUUAGAUAGUUGGCGGGGUAACGGCCCACCAAGUCUACGAUGGAUAGGGGUUCUGAGAGGAAGGUCCCCCACAUUGGAACUGAGACACGGUCCAAACUCCUACGGGAGGCAGCAGUGAGGAAUAUUGGUCAAUGGACGAGAGUCUGAACCAGCCAAAAGUAGCGUGAAGGAUGACUGCCCUAUGGGUUGUAAACUUCUUUUAUAAGGGAAUAAAGUGAGGGACGUGUCCCUUUUUGUAUGUACCUUAUGAAUAAGGAUCGGCUAACUCCGUGCCAGCCGCCGC